AGAUGGAACUCCUUAUUCCAGGUGCCUGCCUGGAAGGGGAGGGUCCCUGAAUGGCUGGAGGGAAGAAGCUUUGCUUCAGCCGCUGCCACCUCUGAUUGCCUGGAUCAUCUGCUGCAAUGCUGCACCUCUGACAUCUGGCCCUCUGACAGCAGAUAAAGCAUUGAAGAUAAGAAUUGACCUCUGAGUAUUUCUGUGACUUCAUCCCAAAGGUUUUCUGUAUUCUGAGGAGCUCUAAUUUUGAAUUUAUCCAAGAAAGAGAACAAAGAACAAGAAAGUGUGAGUAAUAAUAAAAACUGGAAAAUAAAUUCAAACUUACGCAAAGAGUUGAUGGUAUCAGUACUGCAUCUGGCACAAGGAGACAUAUUCCUCCAAACUCAUUACUUAACCUCAAAAGAGCCAAACUGACUUCUUGGAUUUUGUUUGGUUUAAAUUACAGAUGAUGUUUUCUUUGAAAAAAUAUUCAUUCUUGAAUGAAUUUUCCUCUAAACCAUGGAGUGUGGAAAGGGAGGAGAACAAGGAAGAGGAAGAGUGAAGAGUACCUAUUGAUAAUGGCAGAUCAUAGACAAAAGUGGAAAUCUGCCAUCUCUUCUUCCUCCUGUGGAACAGGAGUCUAUGUCAUGUAAUAUCAGAAAAACAAAAAGGACCACCCAUCUCUUUCAGAGAAGCUACAUUCAGAACUCCUUUUAUAAGACAAAAUAGCCUAGU